AUGCCUAACACAUGCAAGUCGAACGUGAUCCAGGCUUCGGUCUGGUGAAAGUGGCAGACGGGUGAGUAACGCGUGGGAACCUGCCCUGUGGUAGGGAAUAGCCGCGGGAAACUGCGGCUAAUACCCUAUGUGUCCUGAGGGACAAAGAUUUAUCGCCAUAGGAGGGGCCCGCGUCGGAUUAGGUAGUUGGUGGGGUAACGGCCUACCAAGCCAUCGAUCCGUAGCUGGUCUGAGAGGAUGAUCAGCCACACUGGGACUGAGAUACGGCCCAG
rnacentral:rRNA from 1 species